UUCCGGUUGAUCCUGCCGGAGGUUACUGCUAUCGGUGUUCGCCUAAGCCAUGCGAGUCAUAUGUAGCAAUACAUGGCGUACUGCUCAGUAACACGUGGAUAACCUGCCCUUGGGACCGGCAUAACCCCGGGAAACUGGGGAUAAUUCCGGAUAACGCAUAUUUGCUGGAAUGCUUUAUGCGUCAAAAGGAUUCGUCUGCCCAAGGAUGGGUCUGCGGCCUAUCAGGUAGUAGUGGGUGUAAUGUACCUACUAGCCAGCGACGGGUACGGGUUGCGAGAGCAAGAGCCCGGAGAUGGAUUCUGAGACAUGAAUCCAGGCCCUACGGGGCGCAGCAGGCGCGAAAACUUUACAAUGCGGGAAACCGUGAUAAGGGGACACCGAGUGCCAGCAUCAUAUGCUGGCUGUCCGGAUGUGUAAAAUACAUCCGUUAGCAAGGGCCGGGCAAGACCGGUGCCAGCCGCCGCGGUAACACCGGCGGCCCGAGUGGUGAUCGUGAUUAUUGGGUCUAAAGGGUCCGUAGCCGGUUUGGUCAGUCCUCCGGGAAAUCUGAUAGCUCAACUAUUAGGCUUUCGGGGGAUACUGCCAGACUUGGAACCGGGAGAGGUAAGAGGUACUACAGGGGUAGGAGUGAAAUCUUGUAAUCCCUGUGGGACCACCUGUGGCGAAGGCGUCUUACCAGAACGGGUUCGACGGUGAGGGACGAAAGCUGGGGGCACGAACCGGAUUAGAUACCCGGGUAGUCCCAGCCGUAAACGAUGCUCGCUAGGUGUCAGGCAUGGCGCGACCGUGUCUGGUGCCGCAGGGAAGCCGUGAAGCGAGCCACCUGGGAAGUACGGCCGCAAGGCUGAAACUUAAAGGAAUUGGCGGGGGAGCACAACAA
rnacentral:rRNA from 3 species